UUAUCAACGGUCGUCUAGAGUCUGAUAACUUUUUGCUCUUUCAACACUCUGAACAAAGCUUCAGUUAUUUUAGGUUCAAUCUUCAAAAUGUCGCGAUCAAGUGCGUCAGUAAAAAUCCUAUCCGGAACCCAAGUGGCAAAAGAAAUCACCGAACAACUGAAAUCCUCAGUUGCUGCAAUCAAACAAAAACUUCCAAAAUUUCAACCAGGAUUGGCGAUUGUUCAGGUGGGAGAAA